UAAGUUUGUUCUUGGUAUAAGCUUUUGUGUGCAUGAAGUAUGCAUGCACAUGAAAGCUUAUACCAAGAACAAACUUA